rnacentral:lncRNA from 1 species
UUUUUCUUUUUUUUUGAGAAUGUGGACAAUGGGAAUUGUGCAGUGGCAGUGGGAUACACCUCCUGGAAAAAUAUGCAAUCUCUCUCUUACUCUUUCCAUCUCUGCCUCUCCCUCUCUGCAUCUCUCUUUCUUUGUCUGACUCUCACUGUCUCCCACACAAAAACACAAACAAUCAUACCACAUAGAGCCCCAAAAGACACCCCAACCCCAAGCCUCACGUACACACACCCAAACCUCACACAGGGAAUACAAUGGCUUCCUAGGACUGUAGACACAUGGACACACUUUUUCACCUGGGAAAUCUCCUGUCCACCACACCCCCACAACCCAAUCAGGGUGGCUCGCCAGACGGAGGAUUGCAAAGAUGCCCCACCUGCAUUAACAUCUAGAGUUUUAUCUCAGAAGAGGCUGAUACCAGAAUACGUACCGCUCUCGCUGGUGGUGGUUGAUGGUGUCACCUGCAGGUACAGAAAACAGGACACCGUGAGGCUCAGGUCAUGCUACACACUGUCUGUCUGCAUGAGCUUUAUUUCCCUCAAUGCCUUUAGGAACCCAGAUGGAAUGUGGUUGAGUCCAACGACCCCAAAGUAAGUGAACUGGAUGCCUUAGGAAGUUGUUUUUCCUGGGGGACAUGUCUGUCCAGUCCAUUCAGGACGGUGACUACAAAAUGCUUCAUCCAAGCAGGAGAAAGUGUUACUGAGGGACAGGAUCCUACCACAGCGUUUAGAACCAUGUUUGGUGUCGCCAAUGGUAAACGACCUCUCGAAUCAGCUAACAGUUGGCAGAGACAACCACUCAAUGCUCUCCCAAAAAGGAAAAUUGUAUGAGAUCUACAUGUAUAAUCUCAAAUAUACAUUGUCUGAUUUUCAUCUGAGUUUGAUUGGAAAGAAACCAAGAAAGCAACAUCUGUUCCUGGGACAAAGAACUUCUAGCUCUCCAUGGCGAGAGGUGUGCCUCCGGCGCUGUCUCCUUUGAUGGGAUCCAGGGCUUCCUCCAAGGCAUCUAGGACACAGAGUACCCGUCAGCACAUUCCUCUUGUUGCUCAAGAAUAUUCAUGGAAUGUUGCUUGAUAUGGACACGAGGCUGGGGUGUAUGGAGCCAGCUGGUUUCCAAGCAUGGACUGAAGUGCCCCUGCUGGGCCACCCACCGCAGGAAGGCUCGAAAGUGUGCAUUGUGAUAACAUGGCUUUGGAGAAGGGUGAUAUCAUGCAGUAUGUGACAUGUCUCCUGGAGAAACACCUUUCUCUCUCUCUCUCUCUGUCUCUCUCUCUAUGUUUCUGUCUUCUCUCUCUCUGUCUCUGUCUUUGUCUCUCUCUCGCUCUCUCUCUCUCACACACACACUCACAAUCACACUACACAAGACACCUAACCCCCAAGCCUCAUGCACACACACCCACACCACCCAGGGGGAGUGCAUUGGUUUCCUAGGACUGGAGACACAUGCACAUAGUUUCUCACCUGGAAGUCUGCUUUUCCCCACACUCCCAAGCCUCAGUCCUACCAGGAACCUGGAAUCAGAUGGCUCUUCAGACUGAGGACAGUGAGGACAUCCCCCCAACCUGCCUUACCAUCUAGAGUUUUUCCUCAGCAAG